rnacentral:rRNA from 1 species
UACGGGGGGGGUAAGCGUUGUUCGGAAUUAUUGGGCGUAAAGCGCGCGCAGGCGGUCAUUUAAGUCUGGUGUUUAAUCCCGGGGCUCAACCCCGGAUCGCACUGGAAACUGGGUGACUUGAGUGCAGAAGAGGAGAGUGGAAUUCCACGUGUAGCGGUGAAAUGCGUAGAGAUGUGGAGGAACACCAGUGGCGAAGGCGACUCUCUGGGCUGUAACUGACGCUGAGGCGCGAAAGCGUGGGGAGCAAACAGG